CGAUGAUCUUGACCUCACUUUUUUCCCGAUCCAACAGGACGAUAUCGGGUCUGUUGUGCUGUACUGGCCUAUCGGUUAUUAUUGAUGUGUCCCAGUACAGCUUGUAUCUAUCGUUCUCCAGAACCUCACUCGGCAGGUAUUCUCUUGGAGCCAAUAUUGGGCAAGAGGAAGUAAUAUGCUGAAUAUGUUCAGUAGCCUGGUUGCAUCUCCUGCAUUGAUCGGUUGGUAAGUUCUGCCCCGCGAUGCGUUUUAGGAAAGCUCUAGUGCCAACAACCUGGUCCUGCACUGCUAGAAUUCGGCCUUCAGUCUCGGGAAACAGGUUUUUGGGGUACCUGCCAUGCAAUGGCUUAGAGUACCAUUCCUCUCGGAGUUUCUCCACAGUAACACCCAGCAGUGGCGUAGUUGCAGAUGACAAAUGCAAUGGUGUAAUGUUUUCAUCCGCUUCGCAUAUUGUCUUUUUUAAAGGGAGCUCUUCAUGUCCUUGGACCUUAUCUCGAGCGCUUGUUGUAUGCCAAGAUAUUUAUACGAUUCUUGCGGGCCUAGAUGGGGCAGCUCCUCCUCGCCGGUA